UCCGUGAUGGUGUAAUGGUUAGCAUUUCUGCCUCUCAUUCCGGUCCCAACAUCCUUCGGGCGAGGGAUUGGAACUGGCGUCCCUAGGCCUGGGGGUGCCAUGUUGUUCGCAGGAGAUCAGAGUUCAAUUCCCUAUCACGGAA
rnacentral:tRNA from 1 species